GAUGAACGCUGGCGGCGUGCCUAAUACAUGCAAGUCGAGCGAACAGAUGAGGAGCUUGCUCCUCUGACGUUAGCGGCGGACGGGUGAGUAACACGUGGAUAACCUACCUAUAAGACUGGGAUAACUUUGGGAAACCGGAGCUAAUACCGGAUAAUAUAUUGAACCGCAUGGUUCAAUAGUGAAAGACGGUUUUGCUGUCACUUAUAGAUGGAUCCGCGCCGCAUUAGCUAGUUGGUAAGGUAACGGCUUACCAAGGCAACGAUGCGUAGCCGACCUGAGAGGGUGAUCGGCCACACUGGAACUGAGACACGGUCCAGACUCCUACGGGAGGCAGCAGUAGGGAAUCUUCCGCAAUGGGCGAAAGCCUGACGGAGCAACGCCGCGUGAGUGAUGAAGGUCUUCGGAUCGUAAAACUCUGUUAUUAGGGAAGAACAAAUGUGUAAGUAACUAUGCACGUCUUGACGGUACCUAAUCAGAAAGCCACGGCUAACUACGUG
rnacentral:rRNA from 1 species